rnacentral:rRNA from 1 species
CCCCUUCGGGGGUACACGAGUGGCGAACGGGUGAGUAACACGUGAGCAACCUACCCUUGACAUCGGAAUAAGCCCGAGAAAUCGGGUCUAAUACCGAAUGAUCACUCUCGCGGUCAUCUGCGAGAGUGCAAAGCUCCGGCGGUCAGGGAUGGGCUCGCGGCCUAUCAGCUAGUUGGUGAGGUAACGGCUCACCAAGGCUUCGACGGGUAGCCGGCCUGAGAGGGCGACCGGCCACACUGGGACUGAGAUACGGCCCAGACUCCUACGGGAGGCAGCAGUGGGGAAUAUUGCACAAUGGACGAAAGUCUGAUGCAGCAACGCCGCGUGCGGGAUGACGGCCUUCGGGUUGUAAACCGCUUUCAGUGCCGACGAAGCGAAAGUGACGGUAGGCGCAGAAGAAGGACCGGCCAACUACGUGCCAGCAGCCGCGGUGAUACGUAGGGUCCGAGCGUUGUCCGGAAUUAUUGGGCGUAAAGGGCUUGUAGGCGGUCUGCUGCGUCGGGAGUGAAAACUCAGGGCUUAACUCUGAGCGUGCUUCCGAUACGGGCAGACUAGAGGAAUGCAGGGGAGAAUGGAAUACCUGGUGGAGCGGUGGAAUGCGCAGAUAUCAGGUGGAACACCAGUGGCGAAGGCGGUUCUCUGGGCAUUUCCUGACGCUGAGAAGCGAAAGCGUGGGGAGCAAACAGGCUUAGAUACCCUGGUAGUCCACGCCGUAAACGGUGGGCACUAGGUGUGGGACUCAUUCCACGAGUUCCGUGCCGUAGCUAACGCAUUAAGUGCCCCGCCUGGGGAGUACGGCCGCAAGGCUAAAACUCAAAGGAAUUGACGGGGGCCCGCACAAGCGGCGGAGCAUGCGGAUUAAUUCGAUGCAACGCGAAGAACCUUACCUGGGUUUGACAUAUACCGGAAAGCUGCAGAGAUGUAGCCCCCGCAAGGUCGGUAUACAGGUGGUGCAUGGCUGUCGUCAGCUCGUGUCGUGAGAUG